UACGUAGGUGGCAAGCGUUGUCCGGAUUUAUUGGGUUUAAAGGGUGCGUAGGCGGCUUUGUAAGUCAGUGGUGAAAUAUGGCAGCUCAACUGUCAAGGUGCCAUUGAUACUGCGGAGCUUGAGUACAGAUGAGGUAGGCGGAAUUGACGGUGUAGCGGUGAAAUGCUUAGAUAUCGUCAAGAACACCGAUAGCGAGGGCAGCUUACUAGGCUGUAACUGACGCUGAGGCACGAAAGUGUGGGGAUCAAACAGG
rnacentral:rRNA from 1 species